AAAGAUGAGUGUGUGAGGACCCUAUUGAGGGGGCACAAUGAUAGUACCCUGCCUAAUCUCGGCCAAGGGAUCGAGAGUCAGAGGGACAUUUUGUCCAUGUGAAUGUCUCUUUGCUGAGUGACAGGUUAUUGAUCAGCAUGAGAUGGGAGAACCAAACAGCAAACGGUAACACAGAAAGCAAAAGGCCCUUCAAGAAACAGAAAAGGAAAAGUCCUGUUGUCAAGACCUCCAAGGACAAGAACCAGUGAAGCCUGGUAACAAACACAUUAUGCUUUGAAGAUCUGCCAGUUAACAGCUGUGUGGUCUCUCUCCGAUUAACAUCUCUCAGCCCUUUUUUCACCUUUAUGAGAUGGGGAUUAUAAUACCACAUCCCUUGUAGGGCCAUUGUGAGGAUUGAAUGAGCUAAUGCAUGCCCACGUGCCCACCUCAUGGUGGGAGCAAGCCAUUGCCUCCCCCUCAGAGGACCCAGU
rnacentral:lncRNA from 10 species